rnacentral:rRNA from 1 species
UACGGGGGGGGUAAGCGUUGUUCGGAAUUACUGGGCGUAAGGGCUCGUAGGCGGCCAACUAAGUCGGACGUGAAAUCCCUCAGCUUAACUGGGGAACUGCGUCCGAUACUGGAUGGCUUGGAUUGGGAGAGGAUGCGGAAUUCCAGGUGUAGCGGUGAAAUGCGUAGAUAUCUGGAGGAACACCGGUGGCGAAGGCGGCAUCCUGGACCAAUAUUGACGCUGAGGAGCGAAAGCCAGGGGAGCAAACGGG